GAUGAACGCUAGCGGCAGGCCUAAUACAUGCAAGUCGAACGGUGUAGCAAUACACAGUGGCGCACGGGUGCGUAACACGUAUACAACCUACCUUACAUUGGGGGAUAGCCUUUCGAAAGGGAGAUUAAUACCGCAUAAGACAGUAACUAGGCAUCUAGUAGCUGUUAAAGAUUUAUCGAUGUAAGCUGGGCAUGCGUCCAAUUAGUUAGUUGGCGAGGUAAUGGCUCACCAAGACGAUGAUUGGUAGGGGAACUGAGAGGUCAAUCCCCCACACUGGCACUGAGAUACGGGCCAGACUCCUACGGGAGGCAGCAGUAGGGAAUAUUGGGCAAUGGGCGCAAGCCUGACCCAGCCAUGCCGCGUGCAGUAAGAAGGCGUUAUGCGUUGUAAACUGCUUUUAUACAGGAAGAAACGACCCUUGCGAGGGGCAUUGACGGUACUGUAUGAAUAAGCACCGGCUAACUCCGUGCCAGCCGCCGCGGUAAAAC
rnacentral:rRNA from 1 species